CUGCACUUUGCUGAUGAAAACAUUCCUAAAGGAUGGAGUAAAGCUUACACAGUGGAAACCCACCAGAACUGUUGGGCAGAUGCAGACUGCAGUGAGGUACAGAGCCUACCUGGUAUCAUUGGGUGCAAGGCAGGACUACUCCCUGGACAAGCUAAUUACCCAAUCCACUCAUUAGGACUCCCCCUAUCACUAGUGAUGGCCCAACACCAGAAGGGUAAAGACUAGCAUUGCGUCGUCCGAUACAUGUUAAGUCAGCCACCACCUCUUUUCAAACUGCUGCUGACCCUUUGGGGAGAGAGCAUCAUCUACCCACACAGAAAGAGCAAGGCCAAUGGUGUUGUAUUGGGGGUCCAGUAGCUGAUGGCAAGCUACAUAAACAGGAUUUGAACCGG
rnacentral:lncRNA from 1 species